UUGUCUGCUGCAGUUGUUCGAGAGAUGUCCAGUUUGCAGCCAAACAUGCAGCAUAGAGAAGACCAGCAAGGGGGCCCUCAUCAGCAUCAUGCAGACAUGCCCUGUUGUGAGCAUUCCUAUGAAUGGAACAGUCAGUCACAUGUUGGCAAGUAUCCGGCCAUAAACUGUCACCUGUCAGCGGCAACAGUUUUCACAGGCUCAUAAUUUGUACAAAUACAGAAGUAUCUUUGAUGAGGGGCCGGGAGCUGAUCUAUGCCCAUCAAUGGGGCUCUGGCAAAGAUCUCACCUCCAGCCUCACCGCUUGCCUGCUCACCAAUGGUUGUCGAUGGGGAGAACAAGAACUAGAAACAUGUAUGGAGCCAGCACAUGGAGACU